UAUGUGAAGUAUGAUGAGGUGAUUUGGAAGAACGAAUUUGCAAAGGAUGAUGUGCAGAGUCAAACAUUUACCAUUAUGGUCAUGGUUGGCUCCAUGGGGUACAUAUGUUGGAGUGUUGACAUACCUGUGCUACAAAGUGGGAGUGAGUGAUAAGAUAAGUGAUUCGCACUGUACUUUGCGAAGAGCUUUUAGGUCUGGAUGCUCUGCUUCUUAUUUCAGUAUGGCCACUAGUCUUGGAAGCCGAAACAUUCAGUGUGGUUCUGAAGACUCUCGACGUCACUUGACAGGUUGGAUGGAAGGAGACAAGAGCUGGAUAGAGAAUACUACACUACAUACUAGUCGGCUCAAAGGUUGAAGUACCUUUCUAUUGAUGUAACUAUUUUCUGUGUUGAUACAACAUUUCUCCGA